UACGGAGGGAGCUAGCGUUGUUCGGAAUUACUGGGCGUAAAGCGCGCGUAGGCGGCUUUGUAAGUUAGAGGUGAAAGCCCGGGGCUCAACCCCGGAAUUGCCCUUGAUACUGAGGAUCUUGAGUUCGGGAGAGGUGAGUGGAACUGCGAGUGUAGAGGUGAAAUUCGUAGAUAUUCGCAAGAACACCAGUGGCGAAGGCGGCUCACUGGCCCGAUACUGACGCUGAGGCACGAAAGCGUGGGGAGCAAACAGG
rnacentral:rRNA from 1 species